rnacentral:rRNA from 1 species
AACGUAGGGGGCGAGCGUUGUCCGGAAUUACUGGGCGUAAAGAGCUCGUAGGCGGUAGUUCAAGUCAGGUGUGAAAUCCGACGGCUUAACCGGAGGACUGCACCUGAUACUGGGCUGCUAGAGGUAAGGAGAGGAAGGUGGAAUUCCUGGUGUAGCAGUGAAAUGCGUAGAGAUCAGGAGGAACACCGAUGGCGAAGGCAGCCCCCUGGGCCUGUACUGACGCUCAUGCACGAAAGCGUGGGGAGCAAACAGG